UACGUAGGGCGCAAGCGUUAUCCGGAAUUAUUGGGCGUAAAGAGCUCGUAGGCGGUUUGUCGCGUCUGCCGUGAAAGUCCGGGGCUCAACUCCGGAUCUGCGGUGGGUACGGGCAGACUAGAGUGAUGUAGGAGAGACUGGAAUUCCUGGUGUAGCGGUGAAAUGCGCAGAUAUCAGGAGGAACACCGAUGGCGAAGGCAGGUCUCUGGGCCAUUACUGACACUGAGAAGCGAAAAGCAUGGGGGAGCGAACAGG
rnacentral:rRNA from 1 species